CCUACGGGCGGCAGCAGUAGGGAAUAUUGCUCAAUGGGGGAAACCCUGAAGCAGCAACGCCGCGUGGAGGCUGAUGGUUUUCGGCUUGUAAACUCCUUUUGUUAGAGAAGAUUCUGACUGUAUCUAACGAAUAAGCACCGGCUCACUCCGUGCCCGCAGCCUCGGUAAUACGGAGGGUGCAAGCGUUACUCGGCAUCACUGGGCGUAACGGGCGCGUAGGCGGGAUAGCAAGUCAGAUGUGAAAUCCUAUGGCUUAACCAUAGAACUGCAUUUGAAACUGUUAUUCUAGAGUAUGGGAGAGGUAGGAGGAAUGCGUGGUGUAGGGGUAAAAUCCGUAGAGAUCAAGAGGAAUACUGAUUGCGAAGGCGACCUGCGAGAACAUAACUGACGCUGAUGCGCGAAAGCGUGGGGAGCAAACAGGAUUAGAUACCCGGGUAGUC
rnacentral:rRNA from 1 species